CAAAUUGACCCGGUUCCCCCUCGUUUGUCCCAUUUCCCCUUUGUGUUUCUUCUUUGUCCCCUAAUUUCCACAUUUUUCCCUUGAUUUGUCCCGUUUCCCUUCUGUGUUUCCUCUUGGUCCCGUAAUUCCCCCAUUUCCCCCCAAUUCGCCCCGUUUCCCCUUUGUGUUUCCUCUUUGCUCCUUAAUUUUUGUGUUUUUCCCUUGAUUUGCCCCAUUUCCCCUUCAUUUGUCCUGAUUCCCCUUUGUGUUUCCUCUUUGUCCCCUAAUUUCCCUGUUUUCCCCUCAAUUUGCCCCGUUUCCCCUUCAUUUACCCCAUUUCCCCUUUGUGUUUCCUCUUUGCCCCCUCAUUUCCCUGUUUUUCCCUCGAUUUGCCCCAUUUCCCCUUUGUGUUACCCCUGAAUCUCCACCUUUACCCUUGGAUUUUUCACAUUUUCCCCUUUGUGUUCUUCUUUUCCCCUUUAUUUUAUUUUUUUCUCCUUUAAUUUCAUUUUUUCCCCUUUAUUUUCCCCUCUAUUUUCAUGUUUUUCCUCUCUAUUUUUGUUUUUUUCCCCCUCUAUUUUCCACUUUUUCCCCUUUAUUUUAUUUUUUUCCCCCCUAUUUUCCACGUUUUCCCCUAUUUGCCCUUUGUGGUCCCCAUUUCCCCGUUAUUUUUGUUCCCUCCCUCUUUUCCAUACACGUUUUCCCUUUAUUUUCCCUGUUUCCCCUUUAUUUUUCCCCAUUUCCCCUUUAUUUUUCCCCAUUUCCCUUUAUUUUCCAUCUUUAUCCCUUUUUUGUUCCUGUUUACCCUCUCUUUCCGAUUUCCCCUUUAUUUUUCCCCAUUUCCCCUCUAACUGCCUUUUUAACCCCUCAUUUUCCACGUUUACUCUCUAAUUUCUCCUUUUCCCCCUUUUUUUUCCCGUUUACCCUUCUGUUUCCCACUUUGUUCUUUUCUGUGCUUUUUUUACCCUUUUUUGUACUUUUUUACUCCUCAAUUUUCCUAUUUCACCCUUUUUCCUUCUAAUUCCCCUUUCUCUGUUUGUGUUUGUUCUUUUUUGCUCCUAUUUGGCCAUUUUCCUCUUAUUUCCCUUCAUUUUCCUCUUUCCCCGUUAUUUUCCCUAUUUACCCUUAUUUCUGCUCCUGUUUACCCAUUAUUUUCACUUUUCACUGUGAUUUUCCCUAUUUACUCUUUAUUUUUAGGCCCCAUUUGCCAUUUUUCCUCUUUUCUGUUUUCUUUUUAUUUACCUUUUUUAUGCUUUUAUCUUUUUUCCCUAAUUGUUUACUUUUUUGUUUCUUUUUCCUGUUUUAUUUUUUUAUUUACUUUCCUUUGUUUUUUGUUUCCUUUUUUGUUUAGUUUUGAUUAUUUUUGUUUAACUUUUUCUCCUUUAUUUCUCCUUUCCCCCUCCCCUUUUCCCUUUUUCCCCGUUUUUUGUCCCGUUAACCCUUUACCCCCCUGUCUCCCCCCCUUUUCUCUCCAACCCCCCCAAAUGGGGCCGAGGUGCCCAAAAUUGCCCAAAACGGGCCGGUUUCAGCCCCCCCCGCUGCGGGGGGGUCC
rnacentral:lncRNA from 1 species